rnacentral:snRNA from 1 species
GCGCUUGCUUCGGCAACACGCAUACUAAAAUUGGAAGGAUACAGAGAAGAUUAGCAAGGCUCCUGCACAAGGAUGACAUGCAAAUUUGUGAAAUAUUCCAUGUUUUU